UACGAAGGGGGCUAGCGUUGUUCGGAAUUACUGGGCGUAAAGCGUGCGCAGGCGGUGGCUCAAGCCAGGCGUGAAAUCCCCGGGCUUAACCUGGGAAUGGCGUUUGGGACUGGGUCGCUAGAGUGUGGCAGAGGGAGGUGGAAUUCCACGUGUAGCAGUGAAAUGCGUAGAGAUGUGGAGGAACACCGAUGGCGAAGGCAGCCUCCUGGGCCAGCACUGACGCUCAUGCACGAAAGCGUGGGGAGCAAACAGG
rnacentral:rRNA from 1 species